rnacentral:tRNA from 1 species
CAGAAUAUAGCGCAGCUUGGUAGCGCGUCGGCUUAGGGAGCUGAAGGUCGAAGGUUCAAAUCCUUCUAUUCUGA